UUUUAGUAGUCGAAUUGGUAAGAGCGAACGCGGUCGUUUGCGGUGUAAAUAAUUGUAAUUGCACAAUUCGCGUUUAUAAAUAAAUAAUAUUUAUAGUUUUGUGUAAAAAAAAAUACUAAAUUUAACGUAGACGGAUCAAGUGCGUGGGUUGAAAGUUCGUGCCGGACAAUACAUGAAAAAAUUGCGAAAUUCUAUUUUGUACUGUACUUCACUGUAAUCACUGAAGUUUUUACCUUUUCCGAAUUCACUCAACUCAAUAUUUAGCAAAAAUACCUAAGCAGUUGCAACGAAAUUUCAAGUAGUUAAGAACAGAAAUUAGUACGGUAACAAUUACAAACUAAAACAAAUUCAACAAAUUCAACAAAUUCAAUUACGAAAGCCUUUACAAGAAAGAAAAAAAUUUUGAGGCAAAGAAUUAAUGUUUGAAAAAUAUUUGAAUGUGCAAAAGUGCACUUGAAUGAAAAAUGUCAAGGAACAUUGAUUACGGUUUAUAUUGUAAAAUGGCAGGAUAGUUAUUAAGCUCACAUAUUAAAGCCAAAAUUGCACUGACAAAUUUUCAUCUCUCUCUUACUAAAUCGGAAUAUUGCAUCAUUGGUGUUAAAGUAACGAAUUUUAAAAAGGAAUUACUAGAAAACGCAUUAAGCAUCUAUCGAACACGGCCAGAGUCAAAGCAAUAUCUGAUUUCAAGGCUUUUACUAAAUCUAACAAACCAAAGAAACCAGCUUCAACCGCAGCAAAUAGAGUUUAGAAUAGUCCAGUAGUCCAAGAGUAUGUCGCUUAAUCGUUCAUAGCACGCACCUAUUGUUAGAAGUUGUUGCAUCAUCACACUUGCAACAUCAACCGCAACUAAACCAUACAAAAGUAAUUGUGAAAAGUAUUUGAAUAAAUUUUAAAUAACAGAAGCGCAAAGCAAACAUAAAUUCAUAACUUAUUAAAUUUAAGCAAACAAUCCAACAUUAGUAGACCAAAAAAUAACUUUCACCUCUCAGACACAUUGCACCCAAGCUUUAUGCUACACGCUCACAUCCCAGAGGUUGAAUGUAAAUCCAAGAUAUCACAGUAAUAGAAUAAUUUCAAUAACAAAAGCAAAAGCAAAAGCAAAAGCAAAAGCAAAAACAAAAUCAAGCAAACAAGACACGGCACGCCCAAUCAAAUAUCAACCGUCCAAAGCUCACUUUAGGCAAAUUGCAUUAACUAACACUAAACAGCACUUUCGUUCAAAGAAAAUCUCGCCUUUCUCACUUCCUCGCCAGAUAAUAAAAUUUUAAUCUAAUUUACAUUUUAAACAACUACAACUACACCAACGUUAGCAACAACAACGAUAAUGUUUGGUAGCAGCAAACGAUUUACGAACCAUCUAAUAUUAGCGCUUUGUCUGCUCCUGGUGUGUACAACAACACUUACGCUUGCUCAAAAUACAGAAGAAAACACCACGCCCAUAAGUAAUGUCACAGCGCUGCCUGCAACGCAGGAGGACAUCUGCAAGGAUGGCCUCAUACUAAAAGUUUGGAAACCGCAGGACAAUAUAACGAUAGGCGAUCGUGUCGCGCGUGGUCUAUGUUAUUUUAUUGCGAUGGUUUAUUUGUUUAUUGGCGUUUCAAUUGCUUCUGAUCGUUUUAUGGCAGCGAUUGAGGUGAUCACGUCCAAAGAGAAGGAAGUUGUUGUCAAGAAGAAGGGUGGUGAGAAACAGAUUGUAGUUGUGCGAGUCUGGAAUGAAACUGUUGCUAACUUGACAUUAAUGGCGUUGGGCUCAAGUGCUCCGGAAAUCCUGCUUUCUGUUAUUGAAAUGUUUGCGAAAAAGUUUGAAGCUGGUGAUUUAGGACCUGGUACAAUUGUAGGCUCUGCUGCAUAUAACUUAUUCGUUAUCAUAGCAUUGUGUAUAGUUGUGAUACCGAAAGGAGAAGUGCGUAAAAUUAAGCAUUUACGAGUGUUUUUCGUCACAGCAACGUGGUCAAUAUUUGCCUAUAUAUGGCUAUAUUUAAUAUUGGCUCAAAUUACGCCUGGCCGUGUUGAUGUGUGGGAGGGCUUGUUAACGUUUAUGUUUUUCCCUGCAACAGUAUUAACAGCAUACAUUGCUGAUCGUCGUCUAUUAAUCUAUAAAUAUUUGGAUAAAAAUUAUCGUAUGAAUAAGCGUGGUGUUAUUGUAAGCGCCGAGGGCGAUGCAGCGCUAGAAAUGAAUCAACCGGAGGAAACCGACAUUAAAACCUUCGAUGAGAGUGAGGAAACUAAAGACUUUGAGGAGGCGAGACGUGAAUACAUUUCGACGCUAAAAGAUCUACGCAAAAAAUACCCACAAAGCGAUCUGGAGCAAUUAGAAAUGAUGGCACAUGAACAACUCAUAAAUCGUGGACCCAAAUCUCGAGCAUUUUAUCGUAUACAAGCAACACGAAAGCUGAUGGGUAGUGGCAAUAUAAUGAAGAAAGCCCAAGAACGUGCACAAAUGAACUUAAGUGAAGUUAAAGCGGAAUUGCAACGCGUAGAUGUGACCAUUCAGGAAGAGGAAUCACCAAUGCAAAUCUUUUUCGAACCUGGUCAUUAUACGGUUAUGGAAAGUUGUGGCGAAUUUGAAAUGCGGGUAGUGCGGCGUGGUGAUAUUUCCGGUUAUACAACUGUAGAGUAUGAGACAGAAGAUGGUUCUGCUGAAGCUGGUAGUGAUUACAUUGGAAAAAAAGGUGUACUUACUUUUCUACCCGGUGUGGAUGAGCAACGCUUCAAAAUUGAAAUUAUAGAUGACGAUGUCUUCGAGCAGGAUGAACAUUUUUAUGUGCGUUUAAGUAAUCCAUCCGAAUCCGCUACACUAUCAACUCCAAAGGUAGCCACUGUUAUGAUAUUGGAUGAUGAUCAUUCUGGCAUAUUUGCAUUCCAACAAUUCAAUCAUGAACUUAAUGAAUCGGUAGGCUGUUAUGAACUAAAGGUACAACGGUAUUCCGGUGCGCGCGGAAAAGUUAUUAUACCCUAUUGGACGGAGGAUGGUACUGCGAAAGCCGGCAAGGAAUAUGAACCAUUGCAGGGUGAAUUGGUAUUCGAAAACAAUGAAAUUGAGAAAGUGAUACCAUUGGGAAUCGUGGAAGAAGGAAGCUAUGAGAAGGAUGUCCUAUUCUAUGUCAACAUUGGUGCACCCGUCUUGGCCCCAGAAAAUAGCACUAAAAAGGACGCCUUUAGUUUUCUGAACAGAAUUUUUGUAGGCACCAGAUAUAACGAACCUCAAGGAACUGCAGGAGAUGAUGACGAAUUAAUAGGACUAAUUCAGAACGCCGAGUCGAAGCCACCAGAAGAUCUGACAGAAGAGGAGAAAAUGGCACUUCUGGGUCGGCCGAAACUUGGUGAGGUUGUCCGCGCACAAUUGCGAAUUAAAGAAAGUAAAGAAUUCAGGAACACAGUUGACAAGCUCGUUCAAAAAACCAAUGCGUCUUUGUUGAUCGGGACAUCUUCCUGGAAGGAACAGUUCACAGAAGCUCUUACAGUGAGUGCAGGCAACAAUGAUGACGAUGAAGAGGACGAAAGUAGUACUCCUAGUUGUCUGGAUUAUAUUAUGCAUUUCUUAACAAUAUUUUGGAAAAUAUUGUUUGCAUUCAUCCCACCUACAAAUGUCGCCGGUGGCUAUUUAUGCUUCACCAUAUCCAUUUCAGUGAUUGGCAUUAUUACAGCUGUAAUAGGAGAUGUGGCUUCACAUUUUGGUUGUACACUUGGUAUUAAAGAUGCAGUCACUGCCAUUUGCCUUGUCGCACUUGGAACAAGUAUACCAGAUACUUUUGCCAGUAAAGUAGCAGCAAUUCAGGAUAAGUAUGCAGACGCGAGUAUUGGAAAUGUAACUGGCAGUAAUGCAGUGAAUGUCUUCCUUGGCAUUGGAGUGGCGUGGACGAUGGCUGCUAUCUACCACUCAGCGCAUGGCAACACAUUUCAAGUAUCGGUGGGCACCUUGGCGUUUUCUGUGACACUUUUCAUUUCGGAAGCCAUUAUUGCUUUUGCCGUGCUAAUGUAUAGACGCAGAAAAGGCGGUGAACUGGGUGGUGCAGUUGGUCUUAAGUACUUCACCGGUGGCAUUUUCUUCCUUUUAUGGGUUCUAUACUUGGUUAUAAGCACAUUGGAAGCUUAUGAAAUCAUCGCAGGAUUUUAAGAAGUUUAAGUUUAAUGCCAACGGUAACAAUAGAGCAUCCUUAAGGAUAUUUGUUAGCUCACUCAUAAGCAUGCCUUACGAAAGGCAAUGUCAUGUCAAGUUAUAGAAUAAAAGCAUAAGUGUUUAAAAUUAAUACUAAAUAAAUUUAAACUAACAAAAAAAGAAAUUAAACAAAAUAUUUAAAUGAAUGCUUAAAAACCACUACAAAGAAAAAGAAAACAAAAAACAUAAGGACUACAAAAUGGAAAGCUAUAAAGUACAAUAAAGCGGUGUCCUGGGCGGUUAAACUAUACUAUUAAAGCGAUAUAUUCAACCGUUUUCGGUUCCUGGCUGCAAUACAUUUGGUCAAAGACAUGAAUACAGACGAACUACUUGACGAUAGGAACUGGGAACGUUUCAGAUUAUUUUUUGCACAAACGCUCAUGGAAUAUCAAAAAAUAUAUAAAAAUUAUUCUAGUCGCGUUAAAAUCCCAUUAAGAUUAUUUAUGUGUAAUUAUAUGGUAACAAAGAUUACCGUUUUCUAUAUAUAUUACGCUUGUUACUGGUCUUGUCUCCAACAAAAAAUCAA